rnacentral:rRNA from 1 species
GAUGAACGCUGGCGGCGUGCCUAAUACAUGCAAGUCGAGCGAACAGACGAGGAGCUUGCUCCUCUGACGUUAGCGGCGGACGGGUGAGUAACACGUGGAUAACCUACCUAUAAGACUGGGAUAACUUCGGGAAACCGGAGCUAAUACCGGAUAAUAUAUUGAACCGCAUGGUUCAAUAGUGAAAGACGGUUUUGCUGUCACUUAUAGAUGGAUCCGCGCCGCAUUAGCUAGUUGGUAAGGUAACGGCUUACCAAGGCAACGAUGCGUAGCCGACCUGAGAGGUUGAUCGGCCACACUGGAACUGAGACACGGUCCAGACUCCUACGGGAGGCAGCAGUAGGGAAUCUUCCGCAAUGGGCGAAAGCCUGACGGCGCAACGCCGCGUGAGUGAUGAAGGUCUUCGGAUCGUAAAACUCUGUUAUUAGGGAAGAACAAAUGUGUAAGUAACUAUGCACGUCUUGACGGUACCUAAUCAGAAAGCGACGGCUAACUACGU